rnacentral:lncRNA from 1 species
AAACAGACGCGCGCAAGUUCACUUGAGUAGACAGAUAGUUCAUCUACACGGAUGAUCCGUUUGUUUGUCACGUUUAUACACAGACGACUUUAUAUCAGACGAACCAUAUCUUUGCUUUGUCCAAGAUCGUGUACACUGAUAAUUGUGUCCAGCAUAAAUUAUGCACCAUAUAUUCUUCCAAGCAUUCUUUUAGUAGCUUUACUACAUUUUUUUGACUAUAUUUUCAUCCAAACAGCGACGUGAGUAAUCGUCUUACAAUUAAAACACAAAGACGAAAGCAUUUCGCCAUGUUUUAAUUCUUUAUUUAUAAUAAAUAUUUUAAAUAUAGACAGCUGUUUUAUACAAACAACACGUUUGGCGCGUUGAUUAAAAAUGCAUUAGACGCGAUGCAAAUUUUGCUUAGCAUCUGUUUCCAACGUAACGAUGCUAAUGUCUACAGGUGGAAAAACAGUAAACGAAAUUAAAACAGUGUUUUAGCAACCAGUCAGUACGAUGAAAGAAUUACUACGAGAAUACAAUCGGCAGUUAAACGUGUUCGGUUAAUCUUUUUGAUCGUCAAGACUAUACGUACAGCAAAUAGAUGAAGUGGAGUAUAUUUAUUUUUGGAUUUUUUUUAAUCCUGUGUGGACAAUUACAGAUUUUAUAUUCAGCACCGAUAAGUGGUAAGUUAUACAAAGGUUUACUGGGCUAAAACUAAUUUAUUUAAAUGUGUUAUGUGGCAAGG